rnacentral:rRNA from 1 species
CCCUUUGCCACAGCCGCGGUAAUACGGAGGGUGCAAGCGUUGUYCGGAUUUAUUGGGUUUAAAGGGUGCGUABGCGGCUAUUUAAGUCAUCCGGGAAAGACUUSGGCUCAACCGGAGCAUGUGCCAUUGAUACUGGAUAGCUUGAGUGUUGGAGGGGUACAUGGAAUUGAUGGUGUAGCGGUGAAAUGCAUAGAUACCAUCAGGAACACGCGAUAGCGAAGGCAUUGUACUGGCCAACAACUGACGCUGAGGCCCCGAAAGUGUGGGGAUCGGACAGGAUUAAGAUACCCUGGUAGUCCCCCC